rnacentral:lncRNA from 1 species
UUUUUUUGUAAAACCAUCUAAAUCUUAUUUUUUGGGGGUAGUUUUGGGAUUUAAAUAAAAAUCUGUGCAAAGGUUAUUCCUAUGUACCUUAAUACAUUUAGCUAGAGUCCAUGUUCACACCCAACCUCUUAAACUAUGAUGGUUCUGUCCUCCCAUCCGUGCAGCACCUGCGUCCGCACCCAUUCUCUUUGCCUGCCCUCCUCUCGCUAGAAAUGUGCUGCUUGGGCUUCAAUCCAAGACUAAUCACUCCAGGAUAUCUCCGGCGAUGCUUUCCUCUCUCUCCUACAUUAUCAAUCUUUGCUCUUUGCUAGAUGAAAGCCACAAACAUAUACAUGUGCUGUUACUCCUCCCAUCUUAAAAAUAAAUGACCUUCCUGUGACCCCACUUUCCCAAAGCCUUUCUUUUCUUUGCUCCCCUUUGUAGUAAAGAUCCUUUCAGGAGUUGUCUCCACUGUCUCCACUUCCUUGCCUCCCACUCUCUCUUAAGGCCACUCUGGUCUGCCCCAUCAUUCCACUGAAACUAGUGUGGUCAGGGCCCCCAGUGCCUCACCUGAGACCAUAUCCAGUGGUCACUUCUUCGUCCUUAUCUUGCUUGGCCUAUCAAUUGCAUUUUAUACAACUGAUCACUUUCUCCUUGAUUCACCUCCUCACUUGGCUCCCAGGGUCCCACACCCUCUGGGUUUUACUCCUAUCCCUCUGGCAUCCUUCUUUUUCCUUUGCUGGUCUUUCCUCUUGUUAUUGUUGGAGAGCCCUAAGAAUCGGACUUGGUCUUCUUCUCUAGUACACUCUUUCCCUUGAUAAUCCCAUCUAGCCUCAUGGGUUCAUACCAUUCACGUGCUGAAAAGUCUGAAAUUUAAAUUUCCAUUCCAGACUUCUCAUCUGAACUCCACACUCAAAUAUCUCACUGCCUACCCAACAUCUCCACUCAUGCAUUUGAUGGAUGUCAGGACUCCGGCUGGCUCAGAAGACAGUUUCCAGGCCUCAAAGUUGCUACUGCGAGAGAAGGAGAACAUGGGGAAUUCUGUCUGGGGGCUACUGGGCAAGUAAGAAGACUGAGCGCCGCCUUAAGGCUCUGCCAUGUACCGGAACUUCUUUCUGGGUAGCUGGCUCAUGGGGCUUGGGGAUUUUCCAGGACCAUGAUGUUGUCAGAAGUUGCUGACAGGGCAGGACCAAGUGUCAUGGCUAAACCUUUGGCAUCAGACAAUUUUAUUCCUAUUUCCACUCCUUAUGUCUGUGGGAUCUUAGGCAAAUUACUUAAACUUUCUGAGCCUCUGUUUCUUUAUCUGUAAAAUGCAGAUAAUAAUACCUGCUCCAUAGAGUUGAUAUGAGAAUUAGAUGAAAUAAUAAAAUGCAAAAGCCUUAGUGCUUGGCUACA